rnacentral:rRNA from 1 species
UGGGGAAUUUUGGACAAUGGGGGAAACCCUGAUCCAGCCAUCCCGCGUGUGCGAUGAAGGCCUUCGGGUUGUAAAGCACUUUUGGCAGGAAAGAAACGUCGCGGGUUAAUACCCCGCGAAACUGACGGUACCUGCAGAAUAAGCACCGGCUAACUACGUGCCAGCAGCCGCGGUAAUACGUAGGGUGCAAGCGUUAAUCGGAAUUACUGGGCGUAAAGCGUGCGCAGGCGGUUCGGAAAGAAAGAUGUGAAAUCCCAGAGCUUAACUUUGGAACUGCAUUUUUAACUACCGGGCUAGAGUGUGUCAGAGGGAGGUGGAAUUCCGCGUGUAGCAGUGAAAUGCGUAGAUAUGCGGAGGAACACCGAUGGCGAAGGCAGCCCCCUGGGAUAACACUGACGCUCAUGCACGAAAGCGUGGGGAGCAAACAGGAUUAGAUACCCUGGUAGUCCACGCCCUAAACGAUGUCAACUAGCUGUUGGGGCCUUCGGGCCUUGGUAGCGCAGCUAACGCGUGAAGUUGACCGCCUGGGGAGUACGGUCGCAAGAUUAAAACUCAAAUGAAUUGACGGGGUCAUAGCUGUUUCCU